rnacentral:rRNA from 2 species
GUAAUACGUAGAUGGCAAGCGUUGUCCGGAAUUAUUGGGCGUAAAGCGCGCGCAGGCGGCUUCUUAAGUCUGAUGUGAAAUCUCGGGGCUCAACCCCGAGCGGCCAUUGGAAACUGGGGAGCUUGAGUGCAGAAGAGGAGAGUGGAAUUCCACGUGUAGCGGUGAAAUGCGUAGAGAUGUGGAGGAACACCAGUGGCGAAGGCGACUCUCUGGUCUGUAACUGACGCUGAGGCGCGAAAGCGUGGGGAGCAAACAGGAUUAGAUACCCUGGUAGUCCACGCCGUAAACGAUGAGUGCUAGGUGUUAGGGGUUUCGAUGCCCGUAGUGCCGAAGUUAACACAUUAAGCACUCCGCCUGGGGAGUACGGCCGCAAGGCUGAAACUCAAAGGAAUUGACGGGGACCCGCACAAGCAGUGGAGCAUGUGGUUUAAUUCGAAGCAACGCGAAGAACCUUACCAGGUCUUGACAUCCUUUGACCACCCAAGAGAUUGGGCUUCCCCUUCGGGGGCAAAGUGACAGGUGGUGCAUGGUUGUCGUCAGCUCGUGUCGUGAGAUGUUGGGUUAAGUCCCGCAACGAGCGCAACCCUUGAUCUUAGUUGCCAGCAUUAAGUUGGGCACUCUAAGGUGACUGCCGGUGACAAACCGGAGGAAGGUGGGGAUGACGUCAAAUCAUCAUGCCCCUUAUGACCUGGGCUACACACGUGCUACAAUGGAUGGUACAAAGGGCAGCGAAACCGCGAGGUGAAGCCAAUCCAUAAAGCCAUUCUCAGUUCGGAUUGCAGGCUGCAACUCGCCUGCAUGAA